GAUCAUGGCUCAGAUUGAACGCUGGCGGCAGGCCUAACACAUGCAAGUCGAACGGUAACAGGAAGCAGCUUGCUGCUUCGCUGACGAGUGGCGGACGGGUGAGUAAUGUCUGGGAAACUGCCUGAUGGAGGGGGAUAACUACUGGAAACGGUGGCUAAUACCGCAUAACGUCGCAAGACCAAAGAGGGGGACCUUCGGGCCUCUUGCCAUCAGAUGUGCCCAGAUGGGAUUAGCUUGUUGGUGAGGUAACGGCUCACCAAGGGGUCGAUCCCAAGCUGGACUGAGAGGAGAACCAGCCACACUGGAACUGAGACACGGUCCAGACUCCUACGGGAGGCAGCAGUGGGGAAUAUUGCACAAUGGGCGCAAGCCUGAUGCAGCCAUGCCGCGUGUAUGAGGAAGGCCUUCGGGUUGUAAAGUACUUGCAGCGGGGAGGAAGGUCUUGGAAGAAAUAACCGCAGCAAUUGACGUUCCCCGCAGAAGAAGCACCGGCUAACUCCGUGCC
rnacentral:rRNA from 1 species